rnacentral:rRNA from 1 species
AACGAACGCUGGCGGCAGGCCUCAAACAUGCAAGUCUAGGGGGUGUAGCAAUACAUCACCGGCGGACGGGUGCGUAACGCGUGGGAAUAUACCUAUCGAUUCGGAACAACUGAGGGAAACUUCAGCUAAUACCGAAUACGUCCUAACGGAGAAAGAUUUAUCGUCGAUAGAUUAGCCCGCGUUCGAUUAGCUAGUUGGUGGGGUAACGCCCACCAAGGCGACGAUCGAUAGCUGUUCUGAGAGGAAGAUCAGCCACACUGGGACUGAGACACGGCCCAGACUCCUACGGGAGGCAGCAGUUGGGAAUCUUGGACAAUGGGGGAAACCCUGAUCCAGCCAUGCCGCGUGAGUGAUGAAGGCCUUCGGGUUGUAAAACUCUUUCGCGCACGACGAUAAUGACGGUAGUGCGAGAAGAAG